AUGUCUAGGUCUCUCUGGAGUGUCAACAGCACCACACAGCUUGGUGUUAUCUGCAAGCUUGCUGAAGGCAUACUUGAUAUUUUUCAGUGAAUUAACUGUCUUGGGGAAAUCCAACAGAAGGAACCUGCACGUUAUCUUCAGGAGGCCAUGUCAGAACUCAUUUGUGUAUGUGUAUUAGUAUGUUCUCAUAUAUCUGCUCUAGAGAGAAAGAUGGAUCAUGGAUAUCUGGGAUGAGCCAGACCUACUGAUCACUGAACUUCUGUUUCCUGUCAACACAAACUUCUUCACAAGCUGCACGUUACAAGACUGAGGCAGACUCUUUUAAUGAGCACUGACUGUUUUCUGGAGCACUAAACUGGCCAUAGUAACAUUAAUUGAUAUUACACCUAAGCUUAGUCAUAAGAGCACAUGUCAACUCACUUCACUUUCUGGACAUAUAUUUUUAAAGAAAUGGUACAGUCUUAAGGAGUAACAGUAGGCACAAGUGCCCGGCCAAGAUGUGCUUUUUGGUUAGCCAACAAAACCACCUUGGAAAUCCAUGGACUAUUUUACUGAAUGGUUACUGAUUUGUGUUUUGAAGAUGGCUAUGUGUGUGUGUUUGCCUGGAGUGAGCAAAGUUAUCUCCUCUUUUUUUACCACAUGCCUUUUAAGCCAGGGAUGUUAGUGCCUCUAGACCUACAAAGUGCCAAAGAAGAUGUUGCAAGAAGGCAAAAUGAAAAGCAUGAUACAGCAGUUCAAGUGUUGAAGGAUGUGGACAAAGCCAAUGGUGACAGAUAAACAAAGGAGGAGUCCCAGGAAGGAACAGAAUGAAAGAGCUUUUUGAAAAGGGCAAGGGCGUGUGUGUUCUGAGCAUGUGAUUUGCGCUUCCUUACUUCAUUCUAUUCAUUUCUGUGUUUUCCGCUUCUAUGGAAAAGUACUCCAAAUCAUUGCCUCAGACAAUGAGCUUUAUAAAAACUUUCAUGCAAAAUUAUCCUUUAUUAUUGUUGGAUUUCAUUAAAUACUUUUAAAUUAUUUCCCAAUCAUUAACUAUUCGAAUCCCAACAAUUUAUGAGGUAAAAUAUAAAUAAGAGAUAUUCAACUCACAGACCGCGGCUAGGGGGCUCAGAAGAAGCUAACUGAAAAAAGCAAGCUUGUUGCCAAAGGGUCCAAAUUUGUCAUAUGGCAACUUCCACUUGAAAAUAUUUACGGAUCUGAAGAAGAAAAGAUGAAAAUUGUUGAUGUAAAUGAUACCAGAAGCAUUAGCGAUUUUGUAUGGUUGGGGGCAUACCCUUUUUUACUCAUUAUUUCAGGUUCCCUGUGAAGUGCCAAUAGCUGCACUUGGCAUUGUAUAAUAUUCAUACAGCCUCCAGAGAAAAGAGAGUGCAUUGAAAAGGAGACAGUUACAAAACAGACACUAUGCCUUGAGAAGCACAAAGGAAGUUAAGUAGGAGGGUUGACAUUUUUCUCUUCUUUUAUCUUUCCUGGACAUCAUCAAGAAAAGGAGGCCUUCAUUUUAAAGAUUUAUAAGAGGGCAUUUUUUAAAAGAUGGAUCCAUGUUGAGACACUGUGCAAGCAGGUCACCGCGUUAUAGGUCUUGUAAAAACCUUUGGCUCUAUUUGCAUUGCUAAUUUCAAGUACCCAUAAACAGAUAAUUGCAGUACAUUGUUGAUUCCACUAGAGGGGUCAAUUGUUCCUGUAUGAUAAAUGCUUAGCCAGAAGACUGGUAAAUGAGCAGCCUCUCAAUAAUACCUGCUGGUUGCCACUUCUUUCCAAUCUCUAACAAGCAAACACAAGAUACUAUUUGCCUUGAGAGCAAAUUAACAGACAGCUACUGGACUUCUGUGUGCACUGCUUGCUUUACAAAGGCCAUACAAAGGAACGUUUUAAGUCUUAUGGCUUCUACUGCCAUUCAGUGGUAACUACUGCCUUACCUGAGGAUAUGUUAUAAACUUGCAGCCUCUUCCUCCUUUGGAACUGAAUUCUUUACUAUUGGAGUAACUCAGAAGGUCUGCUGAAAGAAUUGGGAUAGUAAAGGCAAGAUUUGGAGGUUGCCCCUCUAAAUGGAAUAUAUCUGGCUCCAGGAGAAGUUCUGCAGAAAUCAAGAUGAAGGAAGUCAGCCCAGCAGUCUGGCUGAAAACAUGCACAUGUAAUAGCUAGCCAGGAGGUCACAAUCUGAAAACACUUCUGAUCAUUUUUAACUUACAGCAUUUAAAGUGCAAUUAUUUGCCUUCAGAAAGCUAUCAAAUAACCCUGAGCUCAUAAUUACAGCUUUGCUUUGAAAAACAGACUGCUAUAAAACAGCCCAGGUAGAUGCAGGCAUGCAAGGACUCCAUGUCUUUGUCUUAAAGAAGAGGUGGAAAAUGGGCUCAGAUUUCCUCUACUUAUUCCCUCUGCUUUUCCUAAUCUGCUCUUCAACUGAGUACCCACUGCAGCAGAUGAGAAAGCAGUGGAGAAAGAGGAAAUGGAAAUGCUGCAGUACAAAGCAUGGUUAAUAAUAUUUAUUAAUGCAUGCGGAGAACUAUUAAAUUAAAAAAAUUAAUGGAGGUCAAAAGCCAGCUUCUAAUUCUCUUCAGGCAAAAGAAAGAAUUUAUUAAAAAGCAGAAAAGGUAUCCACAGAGAAACUUUCCCCAUUUGCUUUAUGUGCAUGAAAUAUAGACAUCAUCUUGACAUUCAACUGAUGAAAGAGAAGAAAGUAAAAUUAAUGCUCAGGCAGUUAACGUUAGCCUCACUGGGAGGGGGGACAUGGAACCCAGCACGCUCUGUUUGACACAGGCUGUUCUGGAGAUCUGUUAAAGUUUGCAAAGUGCCAUUUCCUAAGGAAUCUUUUUGCAGAACCAGCUUUCAUCACACAGUAUCUUCAGCACAGAUAAUCUUGGCUGGCGUUAUUUUACACAAUGCAGCAAGCUGAAAAUCCAAAGGAAGUAUAUCCAGAUCUUCUGGCUGUGUGGAUCUGACACAAAAAAUUGGAGCACAAAGCAAAAGAGUCAUGAGCAUGCAUCAAACAUGCUUUUUAUUACUGGAGGCAUUCUUCUUUGCUGGCAAAAAUAUUUGUUUAAAUUUCCACAUCAAGAGAAGAUUCAGGUGUAGUUGAUCAAAUAACCUAGAGCUGCCUGAUAACUAAAAUAAAUUCUCAGGAAGCAUCACCGGUAUUUUUUAAUUUUCUUUGCGCUGGAAACGUGAUUCUCAGUAUGGUUCCCCUGCAGAAUCUGCAUGAGGAGAGAAAAAGAAGGAUGGUUUGAACCAAUUGCUACAGGGGCAGUAUUGUGGGAAAAAUAUAAAAGAAAGUGUUUUAAAAAUGUCACGGUUCUGCUGCCACCAAAGCCAGUUGCAAACCUCCAUAGUUUUCUCACAGAAACGAAAUCUAUACAUGUGUCUCAGGAAAUUCAAUGGCUGGGCACUGCCUGGAUCUUGCUGAAGCUCUCAAAAUAAGGGAUUUAUAGAGGCUUUGGGCAGGACCCUCUGCACAGAGGUGAAUUUCUCCCUGGCAGCGAAUCAGGACUACACAGGAUAUUUUUAUAUAUUUUUCUUCACUUAGUCCUCCUGGAUUAAACAGUCUGUGCUUCAUCAGUCUUGUUAAAAUCUGACAUUAUUUCCCCUGACAUUAACCCCCAGUAUAUCAUUUACUCAAGACUGUGUAAGGUUUCAUCUUGGGAGUAGGAUUUUUCCUUCAUCCAUUUCCUUAAAAAUAUAAUUAUCACUUUGUAGGAGUUUGCUAUGAUCAGAAGUGCUCCUGAAUUCACGAACACAGAGGAAGAUGAGGAUCUUGCACACUAAUUAUAAUUACAAACAAUUAAAUGUGGGGCCUGAGACUGGGAGCAGAACAUUAAGAGCUGAGAAACAGCACUGGCAAGAAAUACAAGGAACUGCAAGAAGCAGUCCAAGUUCAGUCAUCUACAAAAUUUACAACACAGCUGAAGGGCAGGUCUAUCAUUUUCACUGUCAGCUUUGGCUUGUAUUGUGUUAAAAGUUGUAGUUUGAAUCCAGAAGGAUCAGACCUGCCUUCAUCACCUUCCACCAUCCUUGUCAGGACCCUGUGUCCUCAUUUCAGCAUGCAGACAUCUCAUACAGGUAUAUGGAUUUCCCCCUCCCUCCUCUUCAGAGUCCGAAUAACCUCACCCCAACAUACUGGACUGAAGGCAAGCUUUGAGCUAAUCAGCAAACAAAAGUUUUUCCGCAAAAAUUAUCUGAAGGGGUAUUCAUAGCAAGCUCCCUGCAAAUG
ensembl:lncRNA